rnacentral:rRNA from 1 species
UACGUAGGGGGCUAGCGUUGUCCGGAAUCAUUGGGCGUAAAGCGCGUGUAGGCGGUCCGGUAAGUCCGCUGUGAAAGUCGGGGGCUCAACCCUCGAAUGCCGGUGGAAACUGUCGGGCUAGAGUACGGAAGAGGAGAGUGGAAUUCCUGGUGUAGCGGUGAAAUGCGCAGAUAUCAGGAAGAACACCCGUGGCGAAGGCGGCUCUCUGGGACGGUACUGACGCUGAGACGCGAAAGCGUGGGGAGCGAACAGG